GGAUUCCCCUAGUAACUGCGAGUGAAGCGGGAAAAGCUCAAAUUUAAAAUCUGGUAGUCUCUGGCUGCCCGAGUUGUAAUCUAGAGAAGCAUUAUCCGCGCUGGACCGUGUAUAAGUGUUCUGGAAUGGACCAUCAUAGAGGGUGAGAAUCCCGUCUUUGACACGGACUCCCAGGGCUUUGUGAUGUGCUCUCAAAGAGUCGAGUUGUUUGGGAAUGCAGCUCUAAAUGGGUGGUAAAUUCCAUCUAAAGCUAAAUAUUGGCGAGAGACCGAUAGCGAACAAGUACCGUGAGGGAAAGAUGAAAAGAACUUUGGAAAGAGAGUUAAACAGUACGUGAAAUUGCUGAAAGGGAAACGCUUGAAGUCAGUCGCGUUGGCUGGGGAUCAACCUUGGCUUGGCUUACUUCCCAGUUGACGGGUCAGCAUCAGUUUUGACCGGUGGAUAAAGGCUAGGGGAAUGUGGCACCUACGGGUGUGUUAUAGCCCUUGGUCA
rnacentral:rRNA from 1 species